rnacentral:tRNA from 1 species
CCUAGUAAAGCUUCUAUAGCAUCUGACUGUUAAUCAGAAGACAACCCUUUAGGGUUACUAGGA